GAACGAGGUAGACGAAGCGACCUGGAAAGGUCCGUCGUAGAGGGUAACAACCCCGUAGUCGAAACUUCGUUCUCUCUUGAAUGUAUCCUGAGUACGGCGGAACACGUGAAAUUCCGUCGGAAUCUGGGAGGACCAUCUCCCAAGGCUAAAUACUCCCUAGUGAUCGAUAGUGAACCAGUACCGUGAGGGAAAGGUGAAAAGCACCCCGGAAGGGGAGUGAAAGAGAUCCUGAAACCGUGUGCCUACAAAUAGUCAGAGCCCGUUAAUGGGUGAUGGCGUGCCUGUUGUAGAAUGAACCGGCGAGUUACGAUCCCGGGCGAGGUUAAGCUGAAGAGGCGGAGCCGCAGCGAAAGCGAGUCUGAAUAGGGCGUUUAGUACGUGGUCGUAGACCCGAAACCAGGUGAUCGACCCAUGUCCAGGGUGAAGUUCAGGUAACACUGAAUGGAGGCCCGAACCCACGCACGUUGAAAAGUGCGGGGAUGAGGUGUGGGUAGCGGAGAAAUUCCAAUCGAACCUGGAGAUAGCUGGUUCUCCCCGAAAUAGCUUUAGGGCUAGCCUUAAGUGUAAGAGUCUUGGAGGUAGAGCACUGAUUGGACUAGGGGUCCUCAUCGGAUUACCGAAUUCAGUCAAACUCCGAAUGCCAAUGACUUAUCCUUAGGAGUCAGACUGCGAGUGAUAAGAUCCGUAGUCAAAAGGGAAACAGCCCAGACCGCCAGCUAAGGUCCCAAAGUGUGUAUUAAGUGGAAAAGGAUGUGGAGUUGC
rnacentral:rRNA from 1 species